rnacentral:lncRNA from 1 species
CCAGGGCCACCCACGGCCCAGCCUAGUUUGGUCCUGAGGUCCUCUCUGGGUCCGUCAGCUGAUGGCUGAUGUCUUAUUAAAAGCUGUUCCAUGAAUACUCACAAGAGACACUUGGUCUGGAAUUUUCCUUCCUUGUAUAACGUCUUAUUUGAAAGCCUCCACAGUGUUUCUGAGCCCAUAAAUGAUUAACCUUGUUUUUUUUUUUCUUUGAGAAUGGGUCUCGCUAUGUAGCUCAGGCUGACCUCAAACUUGCAGCGAUCCUCCUGCCUCAGCCUCCAAGUGCUGGGAUGACAAGUGUGUUUUUUUCGGCUGACUUUUUUUUUUUUUUGGUACCAGGGAUUGAACUCAGGUCCUUGCACUUGUGCAGCAGGUGGCGAAACCACUGAGCUAAAUCCCCGGGCUUCGGCUGACCUUUUUAAAAAGUUUGAUGCCUGAUCAUAUUCCAUGAAACCUUUGAAUACUUUUUUUUGGGUACCAGGUAUCAAACUCAGGACCUUGGCUUUUGAAGCAGGAAGCAGCACCACUGAGCUACAUUCCUGGCCCAAACCUUUAAAUACUUUAAGGAGUGAUUACUCCACCUCCUAAGUACCAUCCACACCCAGGAAGAUGUGCGACCCGGGAUCCACACAGCGAUGGAGCAGCAGGCGAGGACCCCUCAUCAGCGCUGGCCGCUGGGCGCCUCCUUGCCCAAGCUCCUGCUGCCGCCCACUGUGGGCUGCCGGUCUUCUCAGGGCUGCUAUAACAAAUCACUGUCGCUGGUGGCUUACGAUAGCAGAGCAGGAUAAUCCCGAGAUUCUUGCUCCCAGCACAGAUUCGCGAGGGGAAGGAAUGAGUUUAGCCAAGACCAACAGGAAGCUGGACGGCCGCCCCAUGGCCAGGAGAAGCCAGGGGUUUCACCCCAGCUCCCUCUGCGCCUGUUGGCGCUGCUCCCCAGCCCACUGAACACGCCUACUUUGGAUUGCUGUGAACACGACCACCGUUCACCACUGGCCCGCCUGGCGACUGCCUCUCCACACUGCGUCCUGUCCCAGAGGUGGGCGCUUGCAGGAGAGGACUCGGUGGCUGCACUUCCUGUCCUCCCCUGUGAGUCUCAGGAAGCUUGAGCAUCCCCAGUGGGUCCCAGGAAGACAUAGAUUCAAACAUUUAUCUGAACGUCUCCCAACUGCCGAUGGCUGCACGGCCUGCAGGCUUUCUGCUUCCUUUCACUUCCUCUCCUCCCAAGUCCUCUGGUGCCUCUGUCCCUGUCACGUCCCAGGGGAUGCGGGACGGGAAGCCGCCCUGGCCUGGAGCUGUGGCCCGGUCCUGGUUCUGUGGCUGCCACCUCAUCUUCCUUCCCCAUCUUCCUGGGCACUCUGUGCCUCUGGCCGAUUUGCCAGGUGUCCUAUUGCUUGGAAGUGUUCAGGGGAAAGUCAGGACCGCCCAAGGCAGGCUGUGAGGAGCUAACCCCACGACUGGUUGUUUAUAGCAGUGAGCCUGGCCGAAGCCUACGUGCCCAGGUCAGAGUAACUCGCACCCAAACCCCGUUCCCACAACUAAAACCUUCAGACUAGAAGGACAAUGUUCUAAUUACAACCAUAUAUUUUGUGUAUUCUGUUCCUGAUUAGAGAACACUUUAUUUUGUCCUUUAUGGGCCUUGUUUACCUUAAUUUCCAUAGAACCUGCACGUGGCUCACCUUUCACCCAAUUGAUUGCCUGGGACUGGCCAGGGCCUGUGUCGGUUGCACUGGCAUUGGUUGUCCUGGCCCCGCUUUCUCUCCUAGCUCUGUCUCUUAGUGUAUUUAUUUCUCAGGCCUGCAUCGCACACUGGGCAGGUGGGGACUAGGAACUUACUGCAGGAAUCUGGCAGUUCGGCACAUGUAAAAUGUGAGCUCAGAAAGGUAUGAAACACGGAAGGUAUGGGUUUCUUCACAGAAUUCAUCUAUGACAAAGACAGCUGAUUGUCAAAGCAAAUCUAAAAUGCGCGCGUGUGUGUGUGUGUGUGUGUGUGUGUGUGUGUGUGUGUGUGUGUACCUGGCUGCUGAAAAUCUCUUGAGCUGAGGGGGAUCAUUUGUUGAUGUAAGGAUUUUUUCUGUGCAAUUUUCUGUGUCUCAUGAUGAAAAGUAACAGAAAAGUGGACAUGGCUACAAUGUAUCAGUCUGGUCACUUCCCAGAGUUCCCAUCACUACCACUACAGAGACCCUUGGGGCGUGGGGCACAGUCCUCACUUCCAAGCGCCUUGUGCCUGGGCUGCACAUGGGGGACACAGGAAGUGGGAGGCACGGGCCACCCUCCAGCUCUCUGUGGGCCUCACAACUUCCAUGGUCACUGGGGCAGGGACGUGGGAGAAGGAGAGGCCAGAACCUGGGCUGGGACCCCAAGCCGGGUGUGGGGAGUAGGAGGCCCCACAGGGCCUGGCCCCCGCCGCUCCUGUCCAGGACAGCGGGGGUCCCGCGCCGCGGGUGGCAGGAGGCUGAGGAGCAAUGCAAGGAGCAGGGCAAAGGUGGCCGGAGGGAGCCAGGCGGAACCAGGCAAGCAUGAGGCCCAGGCCAGCGAGGGGGGACAGAGCCGGGGAGGGACAGCAUCAGAGCCGAGUGCGGAGAGCAGAUUCUGGGGCUCAGCAGGCAGAAAGGCGGCUGUGCAGGAGGGAGCCCUGGAGACCCCGUGGGGAUGGAGCCACCUUCGGCUCAGCUGGCCUCCCUGGCCAAGGAUGAAGAGCCGCAGCCCUGGGGGAGCCUGGGGGGCCCUGGUCAGCGCCCCAAGACGAGGAGGGGAGCAGAGGACAUGGAGUCUGGGGCCAAGGAGGAGGCGCGGAGAACUCAUUGACGAGAACAGAGCUUACAACAGAGCGCGGAGGGAGUAACACCUUCUUUCUGUCUAUGAUUCAGCAGCUUGCUUGCAUUUAUCUAUUUCUUCAUUUAUUUUGGAGGUACCGGAGAAUGAACCACAGCCUCAGUACUGAGCUCCAUCCCCAGCCCUUUUAAUGUUUUUAUUUUGAGACAGCAUCUUGCUACGUUGCCCAGCUUGGGCUUGACCUCGUGCUCCUCCUGCCUCGGCCUCCCAGAAAGCUGGGAUUGCAAGUGACUCACCAACACUAAACAGGCAUCCCUAUCAAAUCAAAGCUCAGGGACCCAGCACAAGAAGGCCCUGGACUGCGGCUGGUGUCCUCAUGGUGAGGUUGUCAUCCUCCUGUGGGGUGGGGUGGCUCCCUCUGAGGAUCCUUGGCCCUUACUUCGUCGUGGAUUUAAAUCCUCAAUCCUCAGGAGUAUCUUUGUGGCCUGGGGCUGGCAAGGGAGCGAACUUUUAAACAGGGCAUAAGAAAAAAACUCCAAAAGAGAAGCGUAACAGACACACUUGCCAAACUGACUAUGGGAAAGUUGUGACUGGCUCUUGAUUGGAAGACGCUGGCACAGCCCGGGGACAGAGACAAACCUGUCACACACAACAGCGACAAGGCCAUGCCGGGCACAGGGAGGAGCAGGGGUCAGCGGGAAGAGAGCAAAGAUGCAGUGGGCCCUGGCUGGGUACUCGGAGUCGCCUUAGCUGUCAGGCACACCCAUGGGAGCAGCAAGGGCAUCACCACCACGACAAGCGCGGGGCAGCCACGGAAGCGAGAGCAUGGAACUGGUCCUGCUGCUCCAGGCUGGUAGCAGUUAGGCAACCUCUGCUGAGGGCGCCGGCCUCUGCAGCCCACUCAGGAGUUCGGGGAAGCAGAGCCCAGCGUCUGGGACGCUGCUCCCUAAGGCCGGAGGCGCCAUUGUGGGAACCCUGAGGUCCAGGCCACAGUGGGCCACCCGAAUCAUGUGGUUCCACUCCUUGGAGGAGGCAGGGGUUGGGAAAGGGGAUUGGAAUCUCAAGCUUAAACUGGAAGUCGUGGGCUUUGCUCCUUUGCUUUCUGGGGCGGAAAGUUCGGGGCAGAUGUUGGCCUGAGCAGCUCCAACCUGCUGCCCAGCCUCCGUUCUCCCGCCCAGGCCCCAGGGACAGCACAGGGGACAGUCCCUGUCCUGAGCGCCAUCUCCUUUUGGCUUCCAGUAGGAGUUCACCAACAGCUCUGCCUUCUUCUUAACUUUGCUUAUUCAUUCAGCAUUUUAUCUGUCACCAGGUCCCAUGCGCUGCUGGAAGCCGGGGUUCAUGUGAACUCGCUCACCGUGCGGCCAGUCCGUGGCUUCCUUCCUCCUGCAGUGCCCUCGGCCUCUUAGCUGAGCUCUUACUCGGGCCGGUGGGAGGUGAGGCUCUCAGUUCGCUCCACUGAGCCCUUCCUUGCAGGAGUGUGUGAGGGGAAGCUGUGUCCUUUCCCCUACACAGGAGGAACAGGCUCAGAGGUUCAGCGCCUUCUGAGUCACACGGGGAAGUAGGGCGAGUCGGGGCACAAACUAUACCCUGGGUUACGUAAGACUGCUGGGCUCCAGCCGCGUCACCCUGCGGGCCCAGAGCAACCUGAGGCCUCAUCCUGGCCUGGCCUGGCCCCGGCACCCGGCAGGCGUCCCCUGCCCUGCAUACAUGCCCUGUCCGCUUCUGGGAGCCUCGGGUCCCUCCGCCUCGGUUGUUCCUGGGUCUCAGUCUGACACAUGGGGAUCAAAACACGUGGCGGCGGUGAUUGUUCACAUGUUUAAGGAUCUAUUGCAGUAGAAGCCACUGCCAUAAUUCUCCUUGGAGCACCCGUCGCUUCCAACGCAGGAUCCUGUCGCUAUUGCUCCUCUCUGCAGCCGCUCUGGAAGCUUCUUUCAUGGGUGUGUUUACAAGGAGUGAUCAAAAACAGGCCGACUGCUGCCGCCCAGCGCCAUGCGAUGGAGGUGGGACGUAACAGCGGGCCUGGGCCCUCACCCUCCUCAUUCAUGGAGCUGGCGCCGGGCGCCGGGUGACGGGUGACGGGUGACGGAGGCAGCAAGAACCGGGCAGCUAGAGACGUUCAGGAGAGAGGGCUCCAGAGGGGCUGCAGGAGCGGCACCCUAAGGACCAGGGAUUUCGAAGGAGGGGGGAGGAUCCGCCUUGUGUCUCUUACGGUGAUAAACUUAAAUUUAAUAAAUGUCAUAAGCGUAAAUUUAGUCCUCCGCGGGCCGUGUGACCUUGCCCUCCGCCAAGGGCAACCAGCUGGGCCCCGUGGCUCCCAGCCCCGCGCGCCCGGGGGCGGUGGCCCGGCC